CCUAAGAUCUCAUCUCAAUCUCCCUUCUUGCAGCUUAAAACCUCAUCCUAUCCCUGCACUCCUUGAUCCAGAGCCCCUCCCCAGCUUUCCCGGAGCCUCUUUCCUCACUGGAAGCUGCUCUAAGGUCUCCCUGGAGCUUUCUCUUCUCCAGGCUGAACAACCCCAACUCUCUCAGCCUGUCCUCACACAGGAAGUUCUCCAGCCCUUGGAUCAUCUCCGUGGACCCAUCCAGACUCACUCCAACAAAUCCACAUCUUUCCUGUGCUGAGGACCCCAGAACUGGAUGCAGGGCUCCAGAGUGCUGCCAGCAUAAAUGGGAUCUGGAGGUGCAGCGCGGGGGUGACGUCAGGCUGCACGCCGGCUCUGGGGGUGGCCACACCAGCUGAAAACACAUCGGAGCCUCCUGGGAGGAGGAGAGAAGAGAGGAAAGUAAAUAAUACCCCUGGCUUUUUGGGUAUUUUCUGCCUAAGGUUCUCCAGCCGCAACACGGAUCCCUCUCCAGUGCCGAGAUAAGGGGGGUUAAAAGAAAAAUUGCCUGAUGUUAUCUCCAACGCCUGACUUGGCUUUCUUGAGGAGGAAUCCAGCUUUUGGAAAUUCAGAUUCCCGGUCAUACUGGCUGAAUCACGAUGGCAAAGACAACGUCCUUUAUUAUACUGUGGAAGGCCUUGGAGAGUCAAGAGAUGAAGACUUUGGGAGAUGAACCCCUCACCUCACUCACACUACAGGGCCUGGACUCGCGAUAGUCACCAUCCCAACAGCCCAAAACGAC